UAGUGAUUUGGAAACAAAUCAUUUGUAGGAAAACCUGUCAUCAUUGUGGUGUCAUCCGAUUGACUUUAGAUGUAGUAUAACGUUAGCUAGCUAAGAGUGCGUUCAUAAAAUAUUUCAGAGAACUCUCGACUGAGUGUGCCAGAGCGAAGAAUUAUUGAUGAAUUUACAGACCGCAACAUCCUUUGAAUAUGACCGGUCUGAGUUCACCAAACUGGAGGGGGAGGUGGUCCUGCUCAGGGAGAGCGUGAGAAAACAGGACAGCAGCCUUGCAUACAGCUGAAAGAGGUUCAGGAAGAGAGAGCUGACUGAUCUAACAUAGGAGGUGAGAGAGCUCCAAAAGACAGGCAGAGCAGUAAUAAUGAUCUGACCACAACAAAGGGAGGAGCUGUAGGAGAGAAAGAGAACAGAGGACAGGCUGCAGCAGCAGCUAGAUCACCACUCUAUGACCUGGCCUCACAUAGCAGAGGAGCCCAGCUCAACCAGCCAGACCUCCCCAGCCCUGCCUGCUGCACAACUCCCCCCAGCCCACAGAGCAGCCUCCCACUGACAGCGGUACCAGCAGAAACCAGCCACACCCCAGCUCCAACACCCACCAGCCCCCAUUCCACCCCCUCCAGUCCAGAAGAAACACUGGCUGACAUCGUCCUGUUGAUGGACUCAAAUGGGAAGUUUGUUCAGUAGAAUAAACUUUUCCCUAGACACAAAAUGAGAAAGGUGUGGUGCCCAACAACGCAGAGUGCCAUGGAGCUGCUUGAUAAGGCCCAGCUCGGGUCGCCAAGCCAGAUAAUCAUACACACCUGAAGCAAUGACCUGCGUGCUCAGCAGGAGAGGUGGUGACUUCACUACGGGGAGUGAUUGAAAAAGCCUCCGCAAUCUUCCUCAACUCAUGAUGUCAACUUCCACCCUGCCACAAUCCAAAGAAUAAAUGUCAGCCUCUCCCAGGACUGUGCCCUGUGACCCAAUGUACACCUGGCCAACCAUCCCACCCUCAAUCUGGACUGGCCAGACCCCACCAACGAAAUGAGUGACAUUAAACACAUGCUGAGUCUACUAUGCUCACAUGUGAUAGGUCGAGGGUCAUGGGUUUUCAUGGUGAUGGUGACUAUGAGGAAAUAAAGGACUGCUCCCUACAGUCCAGCAUCUACGCCAACUUACCCACAAGCCCCUCUGACUCUCUCAACUCCUCUAGCGUCAACUUCCACAAGAACCCC
rnacentral:lncRNA from 1 species